AUAAGCUAAAGUGAUCUCUUUAAUUAAAAAAGAUCCUCAAAGGAUUUUAGAUCUGUGAUCUUAACUGCAGGAAGAAUGAAAAAGCAUUAUGUCCUUAGAGUCAGGAGAAAGGCUGUACUUACUUCUUUUUAUCAUCUGAUGGUAUUAAGGCUUUUAAUGAAAAACGCUAUUUUUUUCCCCUCCCUUCUUUGUUCUCUCCUUAGCUUUCCUAAGUGAGUUAAGGCACUCUGAGUAUGCCACACCCUGGUUCCCUUAUUCUGUAAGACCGCAGAAGAGAGAAGGAGCCCAGAUGGCCCCAGGUGGGCUACUAAUCCCAGGAUUUUGAAAUCUUGAGUCUGGCCUCUGGAAGAAUUUCCCAUUCUGUACAAAGAUGAAGAAUAUACUGUUCCUUGUUCUGUUAACCUAUUUUUAUAAAACAGAAGGAUUUUUUUCCUCCCUACUGAAGGCUGUGAGCCAUGGGAAGCGUGUCAACCAUGUCAAACCAAAGGAUCAAGAAAUUGAAGAUUCCGUUCACUUGCCUUGGAGUUUGAGGCCUGGGAAUUACCCAUGUGAUGUCUUCAUGCCUAGCAUAGCUGUGCCUGAUGCAAAGCAGAUACUUGCUGAGGACCAAAGCAGCUACAGGACUGACCUGCCCAAAACCACACAGUGAGUCUGCAGCCCGGCUUCGGACCAGAGUUUCUUCUGACAAGCGGCAAGCUCACUGAUGGCCACACCCGCUCAUCCUGGAUAACAGUAUUCCCCAGUGGAAUUAACACGAUGCAUCUUCCUGGAGUAUCAUUUUUACUUUAAGAUUUAAAAGCAAGCAAGCAAAUUAAAUAGUCAUUUAAAUCAUAUUUAUAUUAAGCCUAACAUGGCCAUAUUGUAGAGCAAACCAUCGGGAUUUAAUAAACAAAACAGGAAACUUCAAAGAAUGCUUUUUCUUGGAAAGAAGGCAGGAGAGCAAGAAAAGCGACUGCCUCAGCCUUUAUCACUCUCCAGACCAGUGCCAAGGAGCCAAAGAGAAGAAAUGAGAAUAACCAAGGUAUGCUGUGUCCAAUUAAUUAACUAUUAGCAAACAAAGGACCAAACAAUGUGACUGUAAGCUUCAUGACAGCAGGGAGUUUGUAUAUCUUUUCACCUGUGUAUCGGCAGUACCUAGCACCAUACCUGGCACAUUGUAGAUAAUAUAUAUUUGUGGAAUAAAUGAAUGAAUGAACAAUUAAAAAAUACAUUUGACUGUUUCCUAGUUUGCAUUUUCUUGAGUGGCAGAGAGAGUAAUGGACUUUUAGUUAGUGCCCUUGGAAUGCCCGCAGGGACGUAUCUCCAGAAGGAACUCAUUCUCUUGCAUUGGAAG
rnacentral:lncRNA from 1 species